rnacentral:rRNA from 1 species
UACGGAGGAUUCAAGCGUUAUCCGGAUUUAUUGGGUUUAAAGGGUGCGUAGGCGGUAUUUUAAGUUAGUGGUAAAACGUCGGGGCUUCACCUUGAUUGGCCAUUAAAACUGGAGUACUAGAGUACAGACGAGGUAGGCGGAAUAAGUUAAGUAGCGGUGAAAUGCAUAGAUAUAACUUAGAACACCGAUAGCGAAGGCAGCUUACCAGACUGAGUCUGACGCUGAUGCACGAGAGCAUGGGUAGCGAACAGG